CCUACGGGAGGCAGCAGUGAGGAAUAUUGGUCAAUGGGCGUAAGCCUGAACCAGCCAAGUCGCGUGAAGGAUGACGGUUCUAUGGAUUGUAAACCUCUUUUAUAAAGGAAUAAAGUGCGGGACGUGUGCCGUUUUGUAUGUACCUUAUGAAUAAGGAUCGGCUAACUCCGUGCCAGCAGCCGCGGUAAUACGGAGGAUCCGAGCGUUAUCCGGAUUUAUUGGGUUUAAAGGGUGCGUAGGUGGCUUUUUAAGUCAGUGGUGAAAGUUUGUGGCUCAACCGUAAAAUUGCAGUUGAUACUGGGAGGCUUGAGUAUGUUUGAGGUAGGCGGAAUGCGUGGUGUAGCGGUGAAAUGCUUAGAUAUCACGCAGAACCCCGAUUGCGAAGGCAGCUUACCAAGCCAUGACUGACGCUGAUGCACGAAAGCGUGGGGAUCAAACAGGAUUAGAUACCCUGGUAGUC
rnacentral:rRNA from 1 species